UAAGGUGGUUAUUGCGUCGGGGCUCACCUCUUCCCAUUCCGAACAGAGAAGUUAAGUCCGACUGCGCAGAUGGUACUGCAAUUUGUGGGAGAGUAUGUCGCCGCCUUUUUUUGAAAAGCCUAUCCGUAUUGGAUGGGCUUUUUUGUUUUUAGU
rnacentral:rRNA from 1 species